rnacentral:lncRNA from 1 species
CUACGUCCACUCGAAUCGUCAAUUUUUUGUACAAUGUAUAAUUGCUGGGACCGUUGAUUUUAUUUUCGGAAAUGGUGCUGCUGUUCUACAAGACUGUGAUAUUCACGCCAGACGUCCUGGUUCGGGCCAGAAGAACAUGGUUACGGCCCAAGGAAGAACUGACCCGAACCAGAACACUGGAAUUGUUAUUCAGAAAUGUAGAAUUGGUGCAACGUCUGAUUUGAGACCGGUUCAGAAGAGUUUCCCUACGUACCUUGGAAGGCCGUGGAAGGAAUAUUCGAGGACUGUGAUCAUGCAAUCGUCGAUUACUGACGUGAUUAAUCCUGC